rnacentral:rRNA from 1 species
AUACGAAGGGGGCUAGCGUUGUUCGGAAUUACUGGGCGUAAAGCGCGCGUAGGCGGAUUGGUCAGUUAGGGGUGAAAUCCCAGGGCUUAACCCUGGAACUGCCUCUAAUACUGCCAGUCUUGAGUUCGGGAGAGGUGAGUGGAAUUCCUAGUGUAGAGGUGAAAUUCGUAGAUAUUAGGAAGAACACCAGUGGCGAAGGCGGCUCACUGGCCCGAUACUGACGCUGAGGCGCGAAAGCGUGGGGAGCAAACAGUAUUAGAAACCCCAGUAGUCC